rnacentral:rRNA from 1 species
AUAUCAAUAAGCGGAGGAAAAGAAACCAACAGGGAUUGCCCUAGUAACGGCGAGUGAAGCGGCAACAGCUCAAAUUUGAAAUCUGGCCUCGGCCCGAGUUGUAAUUUGCAGAGGAUGCUUUUGGCGCGGUGCCUUCCGAGUUCCCUGGAACGGGACGCCACAGAGGGUGAGAGCCCCGUAUGGUUGGACACCAAGCCUGUGUAAAGCUCCUUCGACGAGUCGAGUAGUUUGGGAAUGCUGCUCAAAAUGGGAGGUAAAUCUCUUCUAAAGCUAAAUACCGGCCAGAGACCGAUAGCGCACAAGUAGAGUGAUCGAAAGAUGAAAAGCACCUUGAAAAGGGGGUUAAACAGUACGUGAAAUUGUUGAAAGGGAAGCGCUUGUGACCAGACUUGCGCCUGGCGGCUCAUCCGGGGUUCUCUCCGGUGCACUCCGCCAGGCUCAGGCCAGCAUCGGUUCUCGCGGGGGGAUAAGAUCGGCGGGAACGUAGCACCCUCCGGGGUGUGUUAUAGCCCGUCGAACGAUACCCUCGCGGGGACCGAGGUUCGCGCUCCGCAAGGAUGCUGGCGUAAUGGUCAUCAGCGACCCGUCUUGAAACACGGACCAAGGAGUCGUCCAUUAUAGCGAGCGUUUGGGUGUAAAACCCGCACGCGUAAUGAAAGUGAAAUUAGGUGAGAGCUUCGGCGCAUCAUCGACCGAUCCUGAUGUUCUCGGAAGGAUUUGAGUAAGAGUUAUAACGGACGGACCCGAAAGACAGUGAACUAUGCUUGUAUAGGGUGAAGCCAGAGGAAACUCUGGUGGAGGCUCGCAGCGGUUCUGACGUGCAAAUCGAUCGUCAAAUAUGAGCAUGGGGGCGAAAGACUAAUCGAACUGUCUAGUAGCUGGUUACCGC